CCCGCCUUGCAUCAACUGAAU
rnacentral:miRNA from 12 species